UGGAUGUUAACAUAAUCUUUGGUACAUAGAUUAGUGAGGCUCGGGGAAGGUAAGAUAUUGACUAAAAUCUCACACCAUAGAAAUGGUAGCCCUGGGUACAUUCCCAGGGUUGGGUUUUAGAUCUUUGAACCAUAGGUCAGGGCAUUGGUCUUUUGAGGUAAGGCAGAAAGAGAUGAAGUAUUUCAUUAGUGACUGUCAGAAUCUAAAUUUAGACCUCUUGCCCUCUUGGGGCUAUGGAUGUAGCACAGUUGAUACAAUGUUUGCCUAGCAUACUGAAGCUCUGGGUUUGAGCCCCAGUACCAAACCAGACAUAAACCAAAUAUUCUCAACAUCCAGGAGGUAGAUUUAGGAGGGUUAGAAGUUCUAGGUCAUCCUCUGCUACUUGGGGAGUUUAAGGUCAGCCUGCAAUAUAUGAGACCCUGUGUCAAAACAGAAUAAAAUAUUAUCACUACCAAUAGCACAAAACUGUCUGUCCCACAUAGUUCUUGAUCUUCCUCUCUGAUGGAUUCUUCCCACCUCCCCAUUCUAUAGGAUAGUCUGCUAAACAGAGGGACACAGUUUGUCCUUACAGAAGAAGCCAACUGGAACAGGGGACAGUACAACAGGACUAGCUGACUCUGGAGAAAGGGAAGGGCCCCCCUGGGAAAGACAACAAACCCCAGAGCCUUCUCAUGGGAAAGAGACCUUACUGGACGCCAACUCGGUUCCCUGGGGACAUGGAGUUCUUAGGCCAUAAUCCCAAGCAAUUGUCUCAUUAAAUUUUCUCUACAAUGGCACUGCUAUGGCUUCUCCACCUAUUACCACUGUCUCCAUAUGAGUAGUUUCUAAACAUGUUCUUUUCAAACAGCUUUAUUUAGACAGAACUCACAUACCAUGGAAUUUACCAAUCCUAAAACAUUCAUUUCC
rnacentral:lncRNA from 1 species